UGCGUUUCGGAUGAAGCCGCUUGCGCGGU
rnacentral:piRNA from 1 species